AGCUUUGCGCAGUGGCAGUAUCGUAGCCAAUGAGGUUUAUCCGAGGCGCGAUUAUUGCUAAUUGAAUUUUGUCAUGUUAAUAUAUUGUGUUCUUUUUUACAGGAAGUACUUAAACAGCUACAAGGAAGUAUUGAAGAUGAAGCUAUGGCUU
ensembl:snRNA U4 U4 spliceosomal RNA